ACUGGGAUAACUCCGGGAAACCGGGGCUAAUACCGGAUAAUUCAUUCCCUCUCAUGAGGGAAUGCUGAAAGACGGUUUCGGCUGUCACUUACAGAUGGGCCCGCGGCGCAUUAGCUAGUUGGUGAGGUAACGGCUCACCAAGGCAACGAUGCGUAGCCGACCUGAGAGGGUGAUCGGCCACACUGGGACUGAGACACGGCCCAGACCUCUACGGGAGGCAGCAGUAGGGAAUCUUCCGCAAUGGACGAAAGUCUGACGGAGCAACGCCGCGUGAGCGAUGAAGGCUUCGGGUCGUAAAGCUCUGUUGUUAGGGAAGAACAAGUACCGGAGUAACUGCCGGUACCUUGACGGUACCUAACCAGAAAGCCACGGCUAACUACGUGCCAGCAGCCGCGGUAAUACGUAGGUGGCAAGCGUUGUCCGGAAUUAUUGGGCGUAAAGCGCGCGCAGGUGGUUUCUUAAGUCUGAUGUGAAAGCCCACGGCUCAACCGUGGAGGGUCAUUGGAAACUGGGGAACUUGAGUGCAGAAGAGGAAAGUGGAAUUCCACGUGUAGCGGUGAAAUGCGUAGAGAUGUGGAGGAACACCAGUGGCGAAGGCGACUUUCUGGUCUGUAACUGACACUGAGGCGCGAAAGCGUGGGGAGCGAACAGGAUUAGAUACCCUGGUAGUCCACGCCGUAAACGAUGAGUGCUAAGUGUUAGAGGGUUUCCGCCCUUUAGUGCUGCAGCAAACGCAUUAAGCACUCCGCC
rnacentral:rRNA from 1 species